GGGGCUGUAGUUAACAAUAACAUUUAAUUUGCAAUUAAAAAGUACUUUAAUUAGUCAGCCUCA
rnacentral:tRNA from 1 species